UAACAAGGAUUCCCCUAGUAACUGCGAGUGAAGCGGGAAAAGCUCAAAUUUAAAAUCUGGCGGUCUUUGGCUGUCCGAGUUGUAGUCUGGAGAAGCAUUUUCCGUGCUGGACCGUGUACAAGUCUCCUUGGAAUAGGGCGUCAUAGAGGGUGAGAAUCCCGUCUUUGACACGGACUGCCAGUGCUAUGUGAUGUGCUCUCAACGAGUCGAGUUGUUUGGGAAUGCAGCUCAAAAUGGGUGGUAAAUUCCAUCUAAAGCUAAAUAUUGGCGAGAGACCGAUAGCGAACAAGUACCGUGAGGGAAAGAUGAAAAGCACUUUGGAAAGAGAGUUAAACAGUACGUGAAAUUGCUGAAAGGGAAACGCUUGAAGUCAGUCGCGUCUAUCAGAAUUCAACUCGGUCUUGACCUUGUGUAUUUUCUGGUUGACGGGCCAGCAUCAAUUUCGAUCAUUGGAAAAAGGUCUUGGGAAUGUGGCAUCUUCUGAUGUGUUAUAGCCCUUGAUUGUAUACGAUGGUUGGGAUUGAGGUUCUCAGCACGCAUGUGCUUUAGGAUGCUGGCGUAAUGGCUUUAAACGAC
rnacentral:rRNA from 1 species